UAAAAUGAGUAAGUUACUUCCACUGCGCAUGUACAGCUCAAAUUGUGACGUAAAUCGGGUCAUACAUGCAGCUCAUUUGCAUGUGUAAGAGUAGAGAAGGAAGUUGUUCCUGUUGAUUGCGUCAGGUUUCAGUCAAGACACGUUGAGGAAAACAUGGCCGGUCCACAGAGUAUAUCAGAGGAAGAGCGCCUGUACUUCAAAGGGAUUAAGGAUUCUCCACAAGGCCGUUGCCCCUGAACUACGUCAGCUGUUCAGGAGGCUAUGGGAACAAGACAAGGAGCAAACCAUGGCAGGACGACCAAACCUCAGGGGAAUCGUUUUUUAAUGAUCACAAACCAAAGUCAGAAAAUGGACGAUAUGAUAAUACAAUUAAAACUGGCAACGUGGAGGCCUGGGAUAUGACAGUUUUGUGUAGAGCGUUUAUUAACUACACCCUCAUGAACAGUACGGACAGUGACAAAGUCAGCAUCUUGAGAGACUUACGGAACAAAUAUGCUCACAAUAUCAGCUUGCGUUUGCAUCAGGAUGACUACGAAAAGGAUAUAGGUCAAAUUAGGGAGGUAUUCCAGAACCUGAAUAUGAACGAAGGCACCUUGGCUCAGACCGAAAACAUCGAACCAAAUGACACAGAGCGCCAAGAGCUUCUGAAUAAAAUGCAGUCGCUUAGGCAGGAACAGAUAGAGUGCAUAGAGGAAGUCCUAAACAAACUUUCUGCAUUAGGCAAAGAUAUUCUGAGUACAACAGAGUCCCUGGGACAGGAACAGCGAGAGAGUUAAAGGAGGAACUCCUCAACAAACUGACUCUAUCUGACCGAGAACAUUUCGAUGAACUAAAGACCAUUAGACAGGAACAGGAGAGUUAAAGGAACUCAUCAACAAACUUACUCUAUCUGAUCAAAGUAGUUCUACACAAUGUGGGACUGGUCAAGAGGCAACUGGAGGCGAAGGCAAGCCAGAUCAGGAAGACUCUUCAAUUCCUGGUUGGUUCCAGAGGUCUGUUCCGGAAACUCGACGACACCAGAAGUUGAACCCCAAAACAUUAAUGCAGCUUAUCCCUUUUAUUGGCGGCAACUGGGAUUUUGUAGCAUUGCAACUCGGCAUGACUGCUGCCCAGAUUGAAAAGUUCAAACGUGUAAAUCAGGAAUCUCUGACUUGCAAAUGAUGAAAACCUUCGAGAAAUGGUUGCAGGCGAAAGGAGCGAAGCCACACUGGAGGCGUUUGUCAGAGCCUUGUGGAAUUGCAACAUUGUCUGUACCCUGGAAUGGGAUGGUAUAAAGGACACCAUCAUAAAUGGGAAAGAAUGCACAUUUAUAGAAUGUCCUUAGUUCUUGUUUUUUCCCAGGCGUAAAUUGUACGUAUACUAGGAACAGUAAAAUUGAAAACAAUUUGUCUUUCAAGUGCUGCUUGAUAAUGUAUUGUUCUUGUUUAAUACGUACUGCCAUACUCAUACGUUUGUAUUGAUUGGAAUUGAUUUGUGAACUAAAUAAAUAUAAAAAGAAUACAACUGUUGAUUAUA